rnacentral:lncRNA from 1 species
CAAGAAAGGGUCAUAAACAGGACAGCAAAAGGCAAGAACAAAGAAACAAGAAUGGAACCAAAACAGAACAACAACAAACAUGAAAAGAACAUAACCAGAACAGCAAAAAUAAGAGAAAUUAAACAUGAAAAAAACAUUAACGGAUCAGCAAAAACAAGAAACGAACAUAACCAGAACAGCAAAAACAAAAGAACCUAGCAAGAACAACAACAAACAAGAAAGGAACAUGACAGGAACGGCAACAAACAAGAAAAGAACAUAAUCAGAACAGCAAAAACAAGGUAAACAUAAAAAGAACAGCACAACCAAAAAACAAAACAACAAACAACAAG